UACAGAGGUCUCAAGCGUUGUUCGGAUUCAUUGGGCGUAAAGGGUGCGUAGGCGGCGCGGUAAGUCGGGUGUGAAAGCCCAGAGCUUAACUCCGGAACUGCCUUUAAGACUGCAUCGCUAGAAUCGUGGAGAGGUGAGUGGAAUUCCGAGUGUAGAGGUGAAAUUCGUAGAUAUUCGGAAGAACACCAGUGGCGAAGGCGGCUCACUGGACCGGCAUUGACGCUGAGGUACGAAAGCGUGGGGAGCAAACAGG
rnacentral:rRNA from 1 species